AAAAAAGGGGUUAUUUAGGAACUAACUUAAAUCUCGUUAAUAUUGUAGACUCCGAUUUCGUAGACAAGGACUAUCAAGAGUGCUAACACGUUCGUGAACUUAGCUUUGGGCACGCGUCACGAGGUGGGUGAUUGAUCGGGGGAACAAAAGGGAGAUCAUUUAGAGUUGUCAUCCACUUAGCAUAUGAUUAGCUUCCGCUGGAACUCUGAAACAUUUAGUUAAUUAGUAUUGUUUAAUGAACAAUUUACUUAGUUGUUUUGAUUAA